GUUCAAAAUAAGCCCCUCCUAUUCCUUCAGAAAACUGGUCAGAGAAACAGGAGAAGGACUGAUUUAACAGUUCCUGCAAGUGCUGGUAAUCCUAUGUUGAGAUACUGGAGCAUUGUUUCCAAGUGGUUGGACUCUUAAAGGACCAAAUGGAAGAACGGGACAUUAUGCUCUAGAUGUUGCACAUUAUCUACACUUGUGGAUGAUUACUUCAGCAGGAUCUGAAACAAAGAAAAUCAAACAUUUCUUUUUAUUGUAGCCAAAACAGCCGAGUGUUCCCAGGAGAAUUGUAUCAGCAUCAGUGGUGAGAUGAAUGUGUUUAUCAGAUUUGACUUCUACUUUACCUUUACUUUUAUUAUUGCCUGAUCCUAUUAGAAGACGGUACCUGCUACUUUAUGUUAAGUAACGCAGUAUAAAUUCCCACUGAUAGCAAGAAAAUUGUAUUGCUUUCUUUCAAUGCAUAAAUAAAAAUACUUAUCAGGAAAACGCCA